rnacentral:rRNA from 1 species
AGGACGAACGCUGGCGGCGUGCUUAAUACAUGCAAGUCGAACGAGAUCCAUCUGGUGGCAACACCGGAGAAGAUUGAGUGGCGAACGGGUGAGUAGCACGUGAGCAACCUGCCCCGAAGACUGGAAUAACACCGGGAAACCGGUGCUAAUACCGGAUACCCCCACCAGGCCGCAUGGUCCGGUGAGGAAAGCCUUUACGCUUCGGGAGGGCUCGCGGCCUAUCAGCUUGUUGGUGAGGUAAUGGCUCACCAAGGCUACGACGGGUAGCUGGUCUGAGAGGACGACCAGCCACACUGGGACUGAGACACGGCCCAGACUCCUACGGGCGGCAGC